rnacentral:snRNA from 1 species
GUGCUUGUUUCGGCAGCACUAUAUUAAAAUUGUAACGAUACAGAGAAGAUUAGCAUGGCCCCUGAGCAGGGAUGACACUCAAAAGCACUAUCUGGCAGCAGAGAUGA